CUCCCUUUUCAAAUAGCAAAACACCCUUUUCAAAUAGCAAAACUCCCUUUUCAAAUAGCAAAACUCCCUUUUCAAAUAGCAAAACUCCCUUUUCAAAUAGCAAAACUCCCUUUUCAAAUAGCAAAGCACCCUUUUCAAAUAGCAAAACUCCCUUUUCAAAUAGCAAAACUCCCUUUUCAAAUAGCAAAACACCCUUUUUCAAAUAGCAAAACUCCCUUUUCAAAUAGCAAAACUCCCUUUUCAAAUAGCAAAACUCCCUUUUCAAAUAGUAAAACUCCCUUUUCAAAUAGCAAAACUCCCUUUUCAAAUAGCAAAACUCCCUUUUCAAAUAGCAAAACUCCGUUUGCUACCUCGUAGUCUGAACAUACUUUUCAGAAACCUGUACUUUAUGAACCUUAUUAGUUAUUGUAAAGACUAAGUACACAUUGAGUAUUGAGUUUGUUCUAGCGCAAGUACGCGGCAACAACCAUUGGCGUACCAGUCAGGUACGACUAGAAAUCUUGAAUGAUCGCACCCUGACUACCAAAUACCUAAAAUAUCCAAAUUAUUUUUGCCUUCAAAGGUUGGCGAGGAACCGCCAUACAACGAGAUACAUGUCCGGCGGCGACGACGCUCUCGAAAGAAAAGAUGACACGCAAAAAACCAGCUGCUGGAAUUGGAGAAUUCAGCACAAAAAUGAAUGUUUCUGAACAAAGCGCAUAUAUCAAUCUUUAUCUCAGUAGUGCUUGUGACAGAUCCCGAGGAUUUAAUUAUAAACUAUAGAACUACAUGUCUAAUUGGAAAUUUAAGAAUAAACUUACUAGUUGUAGAAUAUGUAAAUAAAGGAAAAAUUAAUAAAUAAAUGUUGACUGUGUGCAAGGCCGAAUUUUGGUGAAAAUAGUGGGUGAGGUGGA